rnacentral:rRNA from 1 species
GAUGAACGCUAGCUACAGGCUUAACACAUGCAAGUCGAGGGGAAACGCCAUCGAAAGCUUGCUUUUGAUGGGCGUCGACCGGCGCACGGGUGAGUAACGCGUAUCCAACCUGCCCACCACUUGAGUUCAACCUUCCGAAGCUAAUACCAAUACCUAUUGUUAUCCGUAGAAUUCAUCUGAAAAAGAUUAACUUUUUAUCGCUGAUGGAUGGGGAUGCGUUUGAUUAGCUUGUUGGUGAGGUAACGGCUCACCAAGGCAACGAUCAGUAGGGGUGCUGAGAGGCAGCCCCACUACAUUGGAAAUACGAUCCAGACCAAACUGCUACGGGACGGAGGAGUGAGGAAUAUUAGUCGAUGGAGGCGGGUCUGACCCAGCCAAGUAGCGUGCAGGAAGACGCCCAUAUGGGUAGUAAACUGCUUUGAUAAGGGAAUAAAGUGAGUCUCGGGAGACUUUUUGCAUGUACCUUAUGAAUAAGGACCGGCUAAUUCCGUG